AACUGGUCGAGAGUUGGCCUGCUCUCCUGAUGAGCCCAUGGCAAGGCAAAGCCAGUG
rnacentral:hammerhead_ribozyme from 11 species